GUGCUCGCCUCAGCAGCUCAUAUGCUAGAAUGGGAACAACACAGAAAAGGUUAGCAUGGCCCUGUGCAAGGAUGACAUGCAGAUUUGUGAAGCUUUCUCUAUUUUU